GACGAACGCUGGCGGCGUGCUUAACACAUGCAAGUCGAGCGGUAAGGCCCUUUCGGGGGUACACGAGCGGCGAACGGGUGAGUAACACGUGGGUGACCUGCCCUUAGCUCUGGGAUAAGCCUGGGAAACUGGGUCUAAUACCGGAUAUGACUCCAUGACGCAUGUUGUGGGGUGGAAAGCCUUGUGCGGCUAGGGAUGGGCCCGCGGCCUAUCAGCUUGUUGGUGGGGUGAUGGCCUACCAAGGCGACGACGGGUAGCCGGCCUGAGAGGGCGACCGGCCACACUGGGACUGAGACACGGCCCAGACUCCUACGGGAGGCAGCAGUGGGGAAUCUUGCGCAAUGGGCGAAGGCCUGACGCAGCGACGCCGCGUGAGGGAUGACGGCCU
rnacentral:rRNA from 1 species